rnacentral:rRNA from 1 species
AAGGAAAAAAUUAAAAAUAAUAAAAUAAUAAAAAUAAUUUUAAUAUUAAAAUAAAUAAUGGGGGUUAAAGUAUUUUAAUAGAAAAAAUUAAUAUAUUUAUAGUAUAAUAGUAUUGUAAAAUAAAUUUGAAAUAAAUGAAAAUAAAUUUAAUAAAAAGUAAAUUUAAAUUAUUGUAUCUUGUGUAUCAGAGUUUAUUAAUAAAAUUAUUUAAAUAAAUAAAUCUCGAAUUUAAAAGAGUUAAUUAAUUAAAAAAAUUAAUGUUGUAUAAUUAUUUUAAAUAAUUAAUUAGAAAUGAAAUGUUAAUCGUUUUUAAAAUUAUCUAGUUUUUUUAGAAAUAAAUUUAAUUUAAAAUUUAUUAAAUAUUUUAUUACUAAUUAAUUAAUAAUAAAAAUAAUAAAUUAAAUAAUUUAAGGGAUAAGCUUUAAAUUAAAUUUUUAUAAUAAAAUUUAUUAAUAAAAAAUUUUUAGAAUUUAUAUUUUUCAUAAAUUAAAGUUUAUUAUAAAAUAUUUUUUAAAAAAUAAAAUUUAAUUUUAUUUAAAUUUUUAUAAGAAAAUAAUAUUAAAUUAAAUAAUAUUAGUUAUAAUGAUAAAAUUAGUAUAAUAAUAUAGUUAAUUUUAUAAUAAUUGAAAAUUAAUUAAAAGGAAUUCGGCAAAAAUUUAUAUUCACCUGUUUAUCAAAAACAUGUCUUUUUGAAAAAUAAUUUAAAGUCUAAUCUGCCCACUGAUAAUAUAUUAAAGGGCUGCAGUAUAUUGACUGUACAAAGGUAGCAUAAUCAAUAGUCUUUUAAUUGAAGACUUGUAUGAAAGAUUUAAUGAAAUAUAAACUGUCUCUUAAUUAUUUAUAGAACUUAAUUUUUUAGUUAAAAAGCUAAAAUAAAUUUAAAAGACGAGAAGACCCUAUAGAGUUUUAUAUUUUAAAAUUUAAAAUUUUAUAUAAAAGUUAAAAUUUUAAGUGGAAAAAUAUUUUGUUGGGGUGAUAAAAAAAUUAAAAAAACUUUUUUUAAAUUUUAACAAAAAUAAUUGAAUAAAUGAUCCAUAUAUUAUGAUUAUAAGAAAAAAUUACCUUAGGGAUAACAGCGUAAUAUUUUUUUUUAGAUCAAAUAAGAAAAAAAGUUUGCGACCUCGAUGUUGGAUUAAGAUAAAAUUUAUAAUGCAAAAGUUUAAAAUUUUGAUCUGUUCGAUCAUUAAAAUCUUACAUGAUCUGAGUUCAAACCGGUGUAAGCCAGGUUGGUUUCUAUCUUUAGAAAAAUUUAAUAUUUUAGUACGAAAGGAUCAAAUAUUAAAAAUAAUUUUUAUUAUAAGAAUAUUAUUAAUUAUAAUUA